AAUGGCCAUGUUCCUGUUGAGACAGAAGAACACAGAAAAGCAAGAAUUAAGAGUAAAAUAAGGAGUUAUAGUUUGUUCAUAUUUUUGCAGUUAUUCUUCAAAAAGAAGCCUGAUUUUUUAACAUGCUGGGAUCCUGAAAGUUAUCGCCUCCAGCACUAAAGGUCAGAGAGGUGAAGAAAAAGGGAGGCAGAAAAGAUCAUACUGAAUCCAAAAGGAAACAGGAACAGAGCUCCCAGAGCUGAUUCUACCCCCAAAGAGAUGGAGUUUCACCGUGUUGCCCAGGCUGGCCUCAAAC